rnacentral:rRNA from 1 species
GACGAACGCUGGCGGCGUGCUUAACACAUGCAAGUCGAACGGAAAGGCCCUGCUUUUGUGGUAUUCUCGAGUCGCACACGUGAGUAACACGCGUGAGUUACCCGCUCUACUCCUUGGUAUGCCUUGAGAAAACGGGCUAUUAUAGCGGAUAGGCGCUCCUGCUGGAUAGGGGUGGUAGGAUUGUUCGGUCGGGGAUGGACUCGCGGCCGAUCAGCUUGUUGGUGGGGUAGUGGCUUACCAAGGAAGCGACGGGUAGCCGGCCUGAGAGGGUGGGCGGCCACAUUGGGACUGAGAUACGGCCCAGACUCCUACGGGAGGCAGCAGUGGGGAAUAUUGCACAAUGGGCGGAAGCCUGAUGCAGCGACGCCGCGUGGGGGAUGACGGCCUUCGGGUUGUAAACUCCUUUCGCUAGGGACGAAGCGUUUUGUAACGGAAUGUAUAUAGGAAGCACCGGCUAACUACGU